UUUGAUCGAGCCCAGCCACAGCGGCCGGUCCGCGGGCCGGUCCUGCCCGUAGGCGGCGAUCAGCGCGUGUGCCUC
rfam:Nocardia donostiensis strain X1655 33, whole genome shotgun sequence.